UACGUAGGGUGCGAGCGUUAAUCGGAAUUACUGGGCGUAAAGCGUGCGCAGGCGGUUUUGUAAGCCAGAUGUGAAAUCCCCGGGCUCAACCUGGGAACUGCAUUUGGGACUGCAAGGCUAGAGUACGGCAGAGGGGGGUAGAAUUCCUGGUGUAGCAGUGAAAUGCGUAGAGAUCCGGAGGAACACCGACGGCGUAGGCAGCGCCCUGGACGACACCUGACGCUGAGGCACGAAAGCUGGGGGAGCGAACAGG
rnacentral:rRNA from 1 species